rnacentral:rRNA from 1 species
GCCAGACUCCUACGGGAGGCAGCAGUGAGGAAUAUUGGUCAAUGGGCUUACGCCUGAACCAGCCAAGUCGCGUGAGGGAAGACUGCCCUAUGGGUUGUAAACCUCUUUUGUCAGGGAGCAACGCCGGCUACGUGUAGCCGGACUGAGAGUACCUGAAGAAAAAGCAUCGGCUAACUCCGUGCCAGCAGCCGCGGUAAUACGGAGGAUGCGAGCGUUAUCCGGAUUUAUUGGGUUAAAAGGGGGCGUAGGCGGAUCGCCAGGCCGGCGUUAAAAGCGGGGGGCUCACCCCCGAUCCGCCGUUGAAACUGCAUCCCUUGAGUGCGCGAGAAGUAUGCGGAAUGCGUGGUGUAGCGGUGAAAUGCAUAGAUAUCACGCAGAACUCCGAUUGCGAAGGCAGCAUACCGGCGCGCAACUGACGCUCAUGCACGAAAGCGUGGGUAUCGAACAGGAUUAGAUACCCGUGUAG